UACGGAGGGGGCGAGCGUUGUUCGGAGUGACUGGGCGUAAAGAGCACGUAGGCGGUGUUGUAAGUCAUUAGUCAAAGACUAGAGCUCAACUUUAGUAAGGCUAGUGAUACUAUAAUACUAGAGUAUCAGAGAGGAUUGCAGAAUUCCUGGUGUAGCGGUGAAAUGCGUAGAUAUUAGGAGGAACACCAGUGGCGAAGGCGGCUUACUGGACUGUAACUGACGUUGAGGCUCGAAAGCGUGGGGAGCAAACAGG
rnacentral:rRNA from 1 species